CUGGAGUGACUUGGAGAGUGGCAGUGACAAAACCAAAUAAGGGACGACGUGUGCUUUAUAAGGCUCAUUAUAGGUGCCAGCACAAUGUUUAUGUCCGAUCAGGCACGGCUAAUAAAAGACGGCUGUCAAAAAAUACAUGCUGUGAGGCAAAAAUGGUUUGCACUCUGGUGAAGACUGUAGACAAAAGGGGAGGAUCUAGCAGGAGCAAUGAUCCCCAUAUACCCACUUAUCCAACUUCUGUGCACUUGUACAAUGUACAUAACCAUAACAUCUUUGUUGCGGAGGC